GCAGCAGUGGGGAAUAUUGGACAAUGGGGGCAACCCUGAUCCAGCAAUGCCGCGUGUGUGAAGAAGGCCUGCGGGUUGUAAAGCACUUUUAUCGGGGAAGAAUAGGUUGUCGUUAAUAGCGCCAACACUUGACAUUACCCGUUGAAUAAGCACCGGCUAACUCCGUGCCAGCAGCCGCGGUAAUACGGAGGGUGCGAGCGUUAAUCGGAAUUACUGGGCGUAAAGCGUGCGUAGGCGGAAGCUUAAGUCUGAUGUGAAAGCCCCGGGCUUAACCUGGGAAUGGCAUUGGAAACUGGGUUUCUAGAGUGUGGUAGAGGAUAGUGGAAUUUCCAGUGUAGCGGUGAAAUGCGUAGAUAUUGGAAAGAACACCGAUGGCGAAGGCAGCUAUCUGGGCCAACACUGACGCUGAGGUACGAAAGCGUGGGGAGCAAACAGGAUUAGAUACCCUGGUAGUCCACGCCCUAAACGAUGUCGACUUGUCGUUGGGGGAGUUUAAUCCUUCAGUGACGGAGCUAACGCGUUAAGUCGACCGC
rnacentral:rRNA from 1 species